UGAUCGCCUCAAACGCUUGAGCUCCUUCUUUGCAUACAGUGCUCUGCUGCUGAAUAGGCUCUGUCUCCGUGUUCUGUUUUCAGUUCUCUCUUCAUUCACUGCAGUGCUGGAUGUGAGGAUGAGGCGCACUUUGUUCUUUGUGCUGGAGAUAUUCUUGCUGAAUACACUCCUCUACUUCGGACAAGCUAAAGUGACAGCCAAGGCUGUCGUGACGAUACAACCCAACUGGCCGGAGAUGUACUUCAGAGAGACGAUCACUCUGAGAUGUGAGGUUAAGAACGGAGGUGACACUGUGUGGGAGUACAAAUGGAAAACAACCAACUCAAUAAAACCUUCAAAUGUACAAGAAUAUAGGUUCAGUGCUACUGAAAGUCACAUUGGAAAAUACAGAUGUUCUGGCAGGAACAAAACUGACCUACAGC